rnacentral:misc_RNA from 1 species
UACAUACAAAACUUCACGGGCCUGCUGAUAUUAAUAAAAAUAUUAUAGCCACUAAGGCUAUAUAGAAACAUAUAGCGAAAUUAAUUGUGGUCUGAGGCCAGCUGAAAAAGCACACAACAAACAGUUACAAGAUUCGAACCAACAACUGAGCUCCUAGUUAUCCGUAGACCAGUGUCCAAUCUAGGCAAACCCUUGUUGAUGACAUUCCAAGCCCAGUCUUAUUUAAUUUCAAUAGCAGUUUGUAGAACAUGGCUGUCUAACAGAGGUUGACUGCAUAGUGGUUUGAGACAGAGUGAAGGAAGUACACUUUGAUCUUCUCCAGUUGUAUUGCUAUGGAAACUCCAAGUGUUUGUCAUUCAGAAUCAGUGUUUGGGUUCCUAGCCGAGUUUUCCUGGGUCCACUCAUACCCUGUCAUCAAUUAUUUCACUCACAAAAUUGGUGAAAACAUUCCUGUGGAGUGGAGGGAAUUUCUUCUGAGUUUGAGUACAGAGGACUUGAAUAUGAUUCCAUUCCAGUCACCUCAGAAACAGAACAGCUGGCCAGUAACGUUUCGUAAGUUUGUGGAGAAGUGUCAGACAUUUUCAUUGGACAGAACACAAAUACAAAUUGAGACACCAGUUCUCAUUGGUCAAGAUGAUUGCAGAGGGAUGUCUCCCAAAAAGCUUCAUGAAGUGAAAAACAUGGCUGCUGUGGUUGAUAAAAUUUGUGUCGAGUCUGAGAUUGAUGUAGUUGUAGACAUUGGAUCAGGACUAGGCUAUCUGGGUGAAGUUCUUCACAAGCGUUACAGUCGUCCUGUGAUUGGGGUUGAGGGAAGUGAUGGGCACGUUCAGCGGGCGGAGAGAAGGUCGGCCAUGCAAGGUUUAUCUGCUGACUGUGUAAAAACAAUUAACUUUAGUAUGCAGCCAGGCAGUGAAAAUCUGGAUGAACUGACCGCCAAACUACAAACUUCUUUAACCUCCGCCAAGCCAUGCUGCCAUUCCCCUGGGAACAUUGCAAGAGAAACUAAACUAAUUAACUGUUCUUCAACUGUCAGCAAACAUACAGAUUUCAGUAGAUCUCAGCAUUCUGAUUGUGGUAAAUCGAGUCUUACAGAAAAACUAUCAUAUGAGACCUCUUUACGAUGUCACACUCAUUCUUCAUAUAGUAAAUUAACUGAAUGUGAUAACUCAACUAAAAGUGAUAACUCAACUGAAUGUGAUAACUCAACUGAAUGUGAUAACUCAACUGAAAUGUUCGGACCUAAAGUUGUUAACUCAUAUGAAUGUGAUAAAUCCAGUGUUGCUGAGAAACUGUUGUGUGAGACCUUUUCACAGUAUGAUGAAUGUGAUACCAUAGCUGGAUGUGAGAACUCUAGUCUUAUUGAACGUUCGUUUUGUGAGACCACUUUACAGCAUCAAAUACAUUCUGUGUGUAAUGAUUCAUCUAAAUUUGAUAGCUCAACUGAAUGUGAUGACUCAACUGAACAUGAGGCCCUUUCACAAAAUCACAGAUGUCUUAAGUGUGAUCACACUGAAAAAUCAAACAGAACAUUUACCUGUUGUCACGGUAACAAACAACAGGAUCCUCCUCCUACAUCGUCGGGAAUGCCCGAGCCUCCCCAGUUCUGUCUGAUUGGUCUGCACUGCUGUGGUGACCUCACAGUGACCUCUCUUGAGUACUUCAUGAAUCUUCGUGCGGCUCGUGCGCUGUGUCUCGUCAGCUGUUGUUACCACAAGAUGGCGUCUCAAACAGAUUUGAUUUGUAACUUCCCACUGAGUAAGCUCUGGAGCUCUUCGUACGAGAAGACACAAAACCUGCAUCCUGGAUGGCGACUGAAUUCGUGCAGUUUGCGACUCGCUGCACAGGAAACUAGAUCCAGAUGGAAAUUCCAGACUGCUGAGGAUCAUGCAUUGCAUACAAAUAAUGUUGGAUUCAGAGCCUUGUUGGAACUCUUUUUAAAAGAAGUUAAGAACAAGGAACACAUUCAAGGCAUUAUUAACCAGAAGAAAAUCAGAAAAUCUGAUUUUUCAACAUUCCCAGCAUUUGUGUCUUCUUUACUUCCCGAGAAUGAUGGUGUUAAAUAUGGCGUUUCCAACCUUCUAAGCAUAGUAACGGGAAAAUGAGGAGGAGGUGCCGUGGCCCCUGCAGCACCCUCUGUUCUGCAGCACAUGUAGUUGCCUUGCAUCAGCAGCACCCUCUGUUCUGCAGCCCAUGUAGUUGCCUUGCAUCAGCAGCACCCUCUGUUCUGUAGCCCAUGUAGUUGCCUUGCAUCAGGACAUACCAGCAAGCUUCAUUUGUUGAUUUUGCAAGGGCAGAUCUAGAAUAUCUGAGGGGGAGUGUGUGCAGGUUCUGAUGCAGCCUGUGCUGGAGUCAGUGGUGUAUCUCGACAGAAGCCAGUGGCUCCGAGAACAGGGGAUUCACGCAGACAUCGUGCCUAUCUUUGAUGACCGCAUCUCUCCAAGAAACUUGGCCAUCAUCGCAAUAAAAUGAUUCUUAUUAAACCUG